CGCCGCUACUAAUGAUGAUGAUGAUGAUGAUGAUGAUGAUGAUGAUCAUCAUCAUCAUCAUCAUCAUCAUAAUCAUCACCAUCC
rnacentral:pre_miRNA from 1 species